AUUGAACGCUGGCGGCAGGCCUAACACAUGCAAGUCGAGCGGAUGAAGGGAGCUUGCUCCUGGAUUCAGCGGCGGACGGGUGAGUAAUGCCUAGGAAUCUGCCUGGUAGUGGGGGAUAACGUCCGGAAACGGGCGCUAAUACCGCAUACGUCCUGAGGGAGAAAGUGGGGGAUCUUCGGACCUCACGCUAUCAGAUGAGCCUAGGUCGGAUUAGCUAGUUGGUGGGGUAAAGGCCUACCAAGGCGACGAUCCGUAACUGGUCUGAGAGGAUGAUCAGUCACACUGGAACUGAGACACGGUCCAGACUCCUACGGGAGGCAGCAGUGGGGAAUAUUGGACAAUGGGCGAAAGCCUGAUCCAGCCAUGCCGCGUGUGUGAAGAAGGUCUUCGGAUUGUAAAGCGCUUUAAGUUGGGAGGAAGGGCAGUAAGUUAAUACCUUGCUGUUUUAACGUUACCAACAGAAUAAGCACCGGCUAACUUCGUG
rnacentral:rRNA from 1 species